CAGUGAUUCAAAGAUUCCUGAUAGCCAAGCGGGGUUUGAGGCGGGUAUGGGUGCAUUACUUGCAGGAUUAGCCGGAAUUAACAUGAUCUCUGGACCCG
rfam:Archeaon Loki Lokiarch_contig000229, whole genome shotgun sequence.